rnacentral:rRNA from 1 species
GGAUCAUUACCGAGUGAGGGCGCUCGCCGCUCGACCUCCCAACCCUUUGAUUUGAUCAAGACCUCCUUCUGCCUCGGGGGCGACCCGGACCUCGCGCUCCGCCGGUCCCCCCGGUGGUCACCAACCAAAACUCUGCAUCAAUUGUCGUCUGAGCGUAUUGAGAAAUCAAUCAAAACUUUCAACAAGGAUCUCUUGGUUCUGGCAUCGAUGAAGAACGCAGCGAAAUGCGAUAAGUAAUGUGAAUUGCAGAAUUCAGUGAAUCAUCGAAUCUUUGAACGCACAUUGCGCCCUUUGGCAUUCCGAAGGGCAUGCCUGUUCGAGCGUCAUUACACCAAUCACGCCUGGCGUGGUAUUGGGCGACGCGGCCGUCACACGCCGCGCGCCCCAAUGACUCCGGCGGGACGGACCGAAUCACAGCGUUGUGGUUAAAGCCGCUGGCGAGACGGGACGCCCGUGCCGUUAAACAACCCCAUCACAGGUUGACCUC